GACGAACGCUGGCGGCGUGCCUAACACAUGCAAGUCGAACGGGGUAAUCCUUCGGGGUUACUUAGUGGCGAACGGGUGAGUAACGCGUGAGAAACCUGCCUCUCAGUGGGGGACAACAGUUGGAAACGACGGCUAACACUGCAUAACACUUUAGUACCGCAUGGUACAGAAUGUAAAGAUUUAUGUGCUGAGAGAUGGGCUCGCGUCUGAUGAGCUAGAUGGCGGGGUAACGGCCCACCAAGGCGACGAUAAGUAGCCGGUGUGAGAGGAUGAACGCCCACAUUGGGACUGAGAUACGGCCCAGACUCCUACGAGAGGCAGCAGUGGGGAAUAUUAGGAAAUGGGGGAAACCCUGACCCAGCAACGCCGCGUGAAGGAAGAAGGCCUUCGGGUUGUAAACUUCUUUUACCAGGGACGAAGAACGUGACGGUACCUGGAGAAAAAGCCACGGCUAACUACGUGCCAGCAGCCGCAGUAAGAC
rnacentral:rRNA from 1 species